UACGUAGGGUGCAAGCGUUAAUCGGAAUUACUGGGCGUAAAGCGUGCGCAGGCGGUUCGGAAAGAGAGGUGUGAAAUCCCAGGGCUCAACCUUGGAACUGCACUUUUAACUACCGAGCUAGAGUAUGUCAGAGGGGGGUGGAAUUCCGCGUGUAGCAGUGAAAUGCGUAGAUAUGCGGAGGAACACCGAUGGCGAAGGCAGCCCCCUGGGAUAAUAUUGACGCUCAUGCACGAAAGCGUGGGGAGCAAACAGG
rnacentral:rRNA from 1 species